GUUUUUACAAGGCCUAUGUUUUUACUAAUAUAUUAAUAAGGUAACCUAUUUUUCCAUAAUUUCUAUAUUAUCAUUUAUAUUCAAAUAUUAAUACGGAGACAUAAGGUUUUUUUGUGAUAGUUUUACCAUUGUUCUUUUUCUAUUUUUUUUACCAAAUAUUAUAUCUUUCUAUUUUUUUAAUCUUUUAAUCUACUUCCCAAUAAAUUACUAUUUUAUGUUAUUAAGUGAAGUUUUCA
rnacentral:lncRNA from 1 species